rnacentral:rRNA from 1 species
AUUGAACGCUGGCGGCAGGCCUAACACAUGCAAGUCGAGCGGAUGAAGGGAGCUUGCUCCUGGAUUCAGCGGCGGACGGGUGAGUAAUGCCUAGGAAUCUGCCUGGUAGUGGGGGAUAACGUCCGGAAACGGGCGCUAAUACCGCAUACGUCCUGAGGGAGAAAGUGGGGGAUCUUCGGACCUCACGCUAUCAGACGAGCCUAGGUCGGAUUAGCUAGUUGGUGGGGUAAAGGCCUACCAAGGCGACGAUCCGUAACUGGUCUGAGAGGAUGAUCAGUCAAACUGGAACUGAGAAACGGUCCAGACUCCUACGGGAGGCAGCAGUGGGGAAUAUUGGACAAUGGGCGAAAGCCUGAUCCAGCCAUGCCGCGUGUGUGAAGAAGGUCUUCGGAUUGUAAAGCACUUUAAGUUGGGAGGAAGGGCAGUAAGUUAAUACCUUGCUGUUUUGACGUUACCAAAAGAAUAAGCACCGGCUAACUUCGUG